UUGCCCUAGUAACGGCGAGUGAAGCGGCAGCAGCUCAAAUUUGAAAUCUGGUCUCCCCUCGAGGCCCGAGUUGUAAUUUGGAGAAGACGCUUCGAGAGCGGCCCCGGUCUAAGUUCCUUGGAACAGGACGUCACAGAGGGUGAGAAUCCCGUACGCGACUGGGUGUCCGCGCUCGUGUGAAGCUCUUUCGACGAGUCGAGUUGUUUGGGAAUGCAGCUCAAAAUGGGUGGUAUAUUUCAUCUAAAGCUAAAUAUGGGCCAGAGACCGAUAGCGCACAAGUAGAGUGAUCGAAAGAUGAAAAGCACUUUGGAAAGAGAGUCAAACAGUACGUGAAAUUGUUGAAAGGGAAGCGCUUGCCGCCAGACUUGUGCGUGGCCGAUCAUCCGGGGCUCCCCCCGGUGCACUCGGUCACGCCCAGGCCAGCGUCGGUCCCAGUGGGUGGAGAAGGGUCCCGGGAACGUGGCUCCCCUCGGGGAGUGUUAUAGCCCGGGGUGCCAUGCGCCCUACCGGGACCGAGGACCGCGCUCCGGCUAGGAAGCUGGCAUAAUGGCGGCAAGCGACCCGUCUUGAAACACGGACCAAGGAGUCUAAUAUCUAUGCGAGUAUUUGGGUGCUAAACCCAUCUGCGUAAUGAAAGUGAACGGGGUGAGAACCCUCUCACCUGGGGGGCAUCAUCGACCGAUCCGGAUGUUCUCGGAUGGAUUUGAGUAAGAGCAUAGCUGUUGGGACCCGAAAGAGAGUGAACUUUACGUGGAUAGGGUGAAGUCAGAGGAAACUCUGAUGGAGGCUCGCAGCGGUUCUGACGUGCAAAUCGAUCGUCAAAUCUGCGUAAAGGGGCGAAAGACCAAUCGACUU
rnacentral:rRNA from 1 species